CAAAAAGUAGUUUAAUUAAAAUAAUAAUUUUGGGAAUUAUUGAUAUUUUUUUUA
rnacentral:tRNA from 1 species